rnacentral:tRNA from 1 species
AUGUGGCUCAGUGGUUAGAGCAUUUGCUUACAAUGCAUGAAGGCCUGAGUUCCAUCCUCAACAU